CUUGCUGUUGACGUCCGGUGCUGUGUCGUCCCACAUUAAAUAAAGCAGCAGUUUAUGGCACCCUUUGAACACAAUGCCUUUCCGUCUGGCGUGUCUGGCGUCUGGUACUGUGUCAUCCCUCCCAGCCUGCUCCGCACAAUAGUAAUUGACGAACACAACACACCACGUGGAGAGAAGCAAGGUGUGGAGUACCCAAGCCUCUCACAGUCCAUGCUAGUAGACUCACCCUGCAUGUGGAGAUCUCCCAAAAUGCACGGAGGUUAUUCCAGAGCUGCAGGACAGAGUACUUGAGGCCAUUGGUGAACAGAAAGCUGAGGUUGAACAAAGCCAAGAAUUGAUAGCUGCCCAAGGUGUAAGCAAGAUUCACAAUGAUGAGGUCAUUGUGACGUGUGCAAUGUGUCCACUGGUCUUGGCCUUCCUGACCAAGGCAGCCACACAAAGGAAAUUCCACGUUAUUGUUGCCGAACGUGCCCCUAAAUAUGAUGCAAGGGUCACCCAGUGGCAAAAGCUUUAUGUACUGCUGGAAUUGAGACAACAUUAAUUCAAGACUCUGCAGUGUUCCCCAUCAUGUCACGUGUCAACAAGGUCAUCAAAGGUCAUCGUUGGCACCGAGACGGUGGUGACCAACGGAGGCAUUGAGACCUUUGUUGGUGCAGCCUCUCUUGCCUCACCACCAAAGUUUUAUUCUGUUUCACUGUAUGUGUGCACUCCCACAUACAAAUUUAGCUUGAUGGGCUGUGAAGAAAUAAGCCACCAAACCACCACUUCUAUUAUCCCAGAGGGAACAAAGUUUUGGCCGUCUGUAAAUACUGCGCUGACUCAGCUAGAUUACGUUCCUCCAGAAAAUGUCACCAGUUUGAUAACUAACAAUCGAGGUACUGCACCAUCCUACGUGUACCGGCAGCUUAGCAAACUGUACCGUCCCACUUCUUGUGAUCUCUAAGGUAACAGCUUUAAUCCUUGCAAAUCAGGAAUAAGAGAAAAGAGACACACCUGCCAUUUGUACUGUUAUGCUGUAGUGUUCUGUCAUUUUUUUCCUCUUUUAUCCUAGAACCAUUUUUGGUCAUUCAUGUUUCUAAAAAUUAUUAUACAAAAAUGUUGAGCUUAAUAUGUUUGGUGUAGUUUUUUGUAACAUGUGUUAUUGUUAAUGUGUGUGGUUCCCCUCAGGAAGAAUGUUGCAGUAUUACCAGUAAUGUUACAGCCAAUGGAAGUGUCUGUAUUGUGCUUUGGUGGGAGGUUAAUUUGAUGUAUUUUUAGAGUUGUGCAGGAUAUUAUAGCAAGCCCUCAAAAUAAAGAAAAUAACUAUAGAAAA